AUUGAACGCUGGCGGCAUGCUUUACACAUGCAAGUCGAACGGUAACAGGUUAAGCUGACGAGUGUCGAACGGGUGAGUACUGCAUCGGAACGUGCCCGAUCGUGGCGGAUAACGCAGCGAAAGCUGCGCUAAUCUCGCAUACGAUCUGAGGAUGAAAGCGGGGGACCGUAAGGCUUCGCUCGAUCGGAGCGGCCGAUGUCAGAUUAGGUAGUUGGUGGGGUAAAGGCUCACCAAGCCGACGAUCUGUAGCUGGUCUGAGAGGACGACCAGCCACACUGGGACUGAGACACGGCCCAGACUCCUACGGGAGGCAGCAGUGGGGAAUUUUGGACAAUGGGCGAAAGCCUGAUCCAGCAAUGCCGCGUGCAGGAAGAAGGCCUUCGGGUUGUAAACUGCUUUUGUACGGAGCGAAAAGGCUCUCUCUAAUACAGGGGGCUCAUGACGGUACCGUAAGAAUAAGCACCGGCUAACUACGUGCCAGCAGCCGCCGUAACAC
rnacentral:rRNA from 1 species